ensembl:lncRNA
GAGCCGGGGAGCACGGCACCAGGUCGUGUCCAGCGCCAGAAUGCAGCAGGGUGCUAACCGUUCCAUUAUCUGCUCCGAAUUAGGUCUGCCACUAUAGAUUUUCUUCACUCUUAGGAAUAAGCAGUUCUUCAGACUCAAGUGCCUGAAAGUAUAGGAUGACAGCAAUUCUGCCAAUGGGAAAGAAGAGCUGAAUGAGUUCUUUAUUUUCCACUUCGAGAUUUGAAUCCUGUAAGCCAGUAAUUUUUAAACAGUUGAAGAAACAAGAUGGGAAGACUGGAAAAAUAGAUGUCAUUCUCUAUUAUGACCUAAAAAGGAAAGAAAACACAAAAGGCGUCUGCAAUCCUGACAUACCCUGAAGUUCCUUAGCCCCCUUCUGCAAAAUGUACAUGGAUAUGCGGUGUGAGUUAUUGCAGGAAGACAACUCUCCCAUCCUUCCUCUCGUCUGAAACAUUCACUGUGCAACAAAUUUGUCUGGCUCUUGAAGCAGCCAUCAAUCUGUGCCAUGUCUGCCGCAGCUUGUUAGCAUCCAGAAAAAUUUACAUACAGAUUUGAAUUCCACACAACUGGAUGGGGAAGAUUUGUGCCUUCACUCAAGCCCACAUUCUUAAACUUGCUGGUGGUAACUGCAGUGGAACAAGGGAUGUGCUUCAAGGUGAAAAUGUAUCAGACAGAAUUCCUUUUGAAAGCUUGAGUUUUGCAGUUUAACUUUGAGUAAACAAUUUGUCAGUGUCUAAUUAUUGUGGAUCUAUUUGCCUUGGUGCAUACUGGCUACCAUUAAAAAUGCUAACAGUUACAAAGGGAACAGCAGCAUAAAAAGAAAUCUUUCUGUUAAAAAGAAAGCUCUGUUUUCCUUUACUUUACUUUAGGCUGCUCCGAAAGUAAUGCUUUCUAUUUUAUGAUGUUGGUCCACAAUGCCAGAG